UACGAAGGGGGCUAGCGUUGUUCGGAAUUACUGGGCGUAAAGCGUAUGCAGGCGGAUCGUUAAGUCGGGGGUGAAAUCCCGAGGCUCAACCUCGGAACUGCCUUCGAUACUGGCGAUCUUGAGUCCGGGAGAGGUGAGUGGAACUCCGAGUGUAGAGGUGAAAUUCGUAGAUAUUCGGAAGAACACCAGUGGCGAAGGCGGCUUCCUGGACCGACACUGACGCUGAGGCGCGAAAGCUAGGGGAGCAAACGGG
rnacentral:rRNA from 1 species